GCCUGAGCGGGGCGAAGCCAGAGGAAACUCUGGUGGAGGCUCGAAGCGAUACUGACGUGCAAAUCGUUCGUCUGACUUGGGUAUAGGGGCGAAAGACUAAUCGAACCAUCUAUGAGCUGGUUCCCUCCGAAGUUUCCCUCAGGAUAGCUGGAGCCCAUUACGAGUUCUAUCAGGUAAAGCCAAUGAUUAGAGGCAUUGGGGACGCAACGUCCUCGACCUAUUCUCAAACUUUAAAUAGGUAGGAUGGCUCGGCUG
rnacentral:ncRNA from 1 species